GUGGGUUUAGCUCAGUGGUAGAGUACUUGCAUAGCAUCCAAGAUGCCCUGGGUUCCAUCCAGCAACACACA
rnacentral:tRNA from 1 species